AAAUGGUGGGGCUGGAAUACAACCCAAGAAGACUACUAAGAUUUGAGGUUCCAAUUAAAACUGUGUUUGGGCCAUUGCAUUACUGCCUGCUAGUGCUUAAUCUUCACCGAAAAUCUCGUCACUUAUUUUAAAACAAAAGAAGAACAAAGUAAGGAGAAAAGUAAUGAAAUGCAGCAUAACAAAUCAUUCAAAGUAAAGGGAAGUAGCUUUUUAAAAACGAU
rnacentral:lncRNA from 1 species